rnacentral:rRNA from 1 species
GACGAACGCUGGCGGCAUGCCUAAUACAUGCAAGUCGAGCGAACAGAUGAAGUGCUUGCACUUCUGACGCUAGCGGCGAACGGGUGAGUAACACGUAAGGAAUCUACCUAUAAGCGGGGGAUAACAUUCGGAAACGGGUGCUAAUACCGCAUAAUAUCUUCUUCCGCAUGGAAGAAGAUUGAAAGACGGCUCUGCUGUCACUUAUAGAUGACCUUGCGGUGCAUUAGUUAGUUGGUGGGGUAACGGCCUACCAAGACGAUGAUGCAUAGCCGACCUGAGAGGGUGAUCGGCCACAUUGGGACUGAGACACGGCCCAAACUCCUACGGGAGGCAGCAGUAGGGAAUCUUCCGCAAUGGGCGAAAGCCUGACGGAGCAAUGCCGCGUGAGUGAAGAAGGCCUUCGGGUCGUAAAACUCUGUUAUAAGAGAAGAACAAAUUGUAGAGUAACUGCUACAGUCUUGACGGUAUCUUAUCAGAAAGCCACGGCUAACUACGUGCCAGCAGCCGCCGCAG